CUCAGUUCGGACUGCAGUCUGCAACUCGACUGCACGAAGCUGGAAUCGCUAGUAAUCGCGGAUCAGCACGCCGCGGUGAAUACGUUCCCGGGCCUUGUACACACCGCCCGUCAAGCCAUGGAAGCCGGGAGUGCCUGAAGUGCGUGAGCGCAAGCAGCGCCCUAAGGUAAAACCGGUGACUGGGGCUAAGUCGUAACAAGGUACC
rnacentral:rRNA from 1 species